rnacentral:rRNA from 1 species
UACGUAGGUGGCAAGCGUUGUCCGGAAUUAUUGGGCGUAAAGCGUCCGCAGGUGGCACCUCAAGUCUGCUGUCAAAGACCGGGGCUUAACCCCAGAAAGGCAGUGGAAACUGAAGUGCUAGAGUGCAGUAGGGGUAGAGGGAAUUCCCGGUGUAGCGGUGAAAUGCGUAGAGAUCGGGAAGAACAUCGGUGGCGAAAGCGCUCUGCUGGACUGCAACUGACACUCAGGGACGAAAGCUAGGGGAGCGAAUGGG